rnacentral:rRNA from 1 species
UACGUAGGGGGCAAGCGUUGUCCGGAUUCAUUGGGCGUAAAGAGCGUGUAGGCGGCCAGGUAGGUCGGUUGUGAAAACUGGAGGCUCAACCUUCAGAGGUCGACCGAAACCAUCUGGCUAGAGUCCGGGAGAGGAGAGUGGAAUUCCUGGUGGUAGCGGUGGAAAUGGCGCAGAUAUCAGGAAGAACACCCGUGGCGAAGGCGGCUCACUGGCCCGAUACUGACGCUGAGGCACGAAAGCGUGGGGGAGCAAACAGGA